CCGCCGUGGUCGCUUGGUUUCGCGCGCUAUCUCAAAGAGUGUUCAAUGGAGUGUUUUCAGAGUUGGGCGAGCGUAGCCGGUCUGCGUUUCAAUCGAAGAAGAAGCACAUGGUUGUCCAAGGAGAUCACUCAGAUAAACAAAGAACAACAUGCAUACUACAGUCCCUCCUGAGCUGGAAUGCCGCAGGGAACUUCAGCUGGUUUGGUGCAAAGGGAAAAAAAUUUGCCAAGCUGCAUCUGUGCAAGCUAAUGUAUGCGUCAUCGCAAGCAGCUGAACCCUCCAACCCAUCAACAGCUAUUGACUGAUUUUGUAAUUAAUACCCAAAACCGUUCAUCCCACCAACCCCUGUGUAAGCAGCUGCAUCUUUUCCUCAGGUGGCACGUAGAAGGAAGUUCCGUUCCUGUGAUCACAUUGACCAACUUUCAGCAUGGGAGUCCCAGUUGUCAAUAGAAAAUGGCAACCAAGUACUCCAGGGUGAAAAUCAAGUGUUUCCAGUUGAAAUGGUGGGCCUGCUGGUCAAACAUAGCUCCAGGACCUACAACAGUCCUUUGUGGUAGGCCAGCCUCAGUUCAGUUGUAAUUUUAAUCAGUAACUUUUGAAAGCACCACAAAUCAGUUGUGUGUGUGUAUUGUGAGAAAUUGUUCUAUAGGCUAAUGUGAAGAGUGCUAUAGUUUUGGCAGCCAUUAUUUAGGCAAGAUAAGUCUUCCAAAACAUCGGUUAUGGGAAAGAUUUAUUCAUAAAAGAGCAUUAUGAAUGCACCUUUGCUACCUUUUAAACGUACAAUUCUGUCCAGGACUUGGCCUGUUCUUUCUCUGCAAUGUUAGCUCUAUCUGAAAAUCAAGUGUGCUACAUACAUGAUGCUCUUAAAAAAAGCUAAUCAGUCCCUGUACCCUUUUAAGAACAUUUUAAUUACCAUUUUAGCUGAAACAAUUUCAUUUUUGUUGCAUUGAUAAUUAAGAUGUGUGUGAGUUUUCUGUAAACAUGUUGUAUUUACUAGGAACCCAUUGUAUUAGUCGUAGUCAUGGCAACAUAUUCAUCAGAUUUGUAUUUAUUAAAUAAACUGCAUUUUUACUGCUCCCUUAA
rnacentral:lncRNA from 1 species